GUGAACGAGCGACGCCGCGUGCGGGAUGAAGGGCUUCGGCUUGUAAACCGCUUUUCUUUGGGAAGAAGGCCUGGGUCGUGAACUUGGGUUUGACGGUACCGAAGGAAUAAGCCCCGGCUAACUCCGUGCCAGCAGCCGCGGUAAGACGAAGGUGGCAAGCGUUGCUCGGAAUCACUGGGCAUAAAGCGCGCGUAGGUGGCUUGGCAAGUCAGUGGUGAAAUCCCAUGGCUCACCCAUGGAACGGCCGCUGAUACUGCUAGGCUUGAGGACGGUAGGGGAGAGUGGAACUCCUGGUGUAGCGGUGAAAUGCGUAGAUAUCAGGAGGAACGCCGGUGGCGAAAGCGACUCUCUGGGCCGCUCCUGACACUGAGGCGCGAAAGCUAGGGGAGCAAACAGGAUUAGAUACCCUGGUAGUCCUAGCUGUAAACGAU
rnacentral:rRNA from 1 species